UCAUCUCUGACGCCGGCGGCGAACAAACCCUAAUUUCCCGUCUUCUUGCAGCGAUUCUCUGGUUACUGCAUGUCUUUCCCAGCAAUGCCCUAGCCGCCAACGAUCUCUGCAACUGCAGCCAUCAGAGUUUCAUAUCUCCUCUCUCGUCCCUGCCCAAGACAACGAAGACAUCGUUAGCGAUGUCUAAGAGACGUGGUGGUUGUUUAGAAUGAGAACGUUUCCACCACCAACUCAGAACCGAUGUGUAAAUAUGAUAGCUCGACUGUUCAAUGCGCCUCUUGGAGACGGUUGGAUCUUCAGAAGCUAUCAUGUUAGCCGGAUUGGCCUUAAAAAGGAACUGGCAGAACAAACGCAAAGCUGAGGGUAAAACCUAUGAUAAACCAAACAUUGUCACCGGAGCCAAUGUUCAAGGAAGAAUUCUCAAGAACACUUGCAGAAAGACUUGGAUGAUAUUUUGAAGGUGCUUCAUGAGCUAGAUACCUUACCUUACAAAAUAUCAAGGAAGAUGGGAGCUGAGUAUUUUGGCAAUGUGAAAGGGAAGAAGGUGAAGAGGGAGAAACCAAUGGAAGUUAUUGUUGGAUGGAGGAAGUUUGUGAAGGAUACGAAGAAGAUGAACGGUGUGUGUUAAUGUGAAGUGUUGUGUUUGUGAAUGAAAAAAGACAUGGGAUUUGUGUUUGUGAAUGAAAGUGUAAUACCCGUAUUUUCCAAAAUAACUUAAAUAAAUAAAAAGUCUGAAAUUUCCACUAAUUACUCUUCAAAUGAAAACUGAAAAGUCGCAAAAUCCAAUAAAUAACCAUAAAUGCAAUAAAAGAGAAAAAUCUGGAAAUAUCGAUAAAAUCAAAAAACCGCAAGUCUGAAAAUGAAAGAAAUAAAACUCCCAAAGCACCAGUCCGAUAACUCCUGCUCGUCAGUCUCACCUGAAAGGGGAAGGAAUAGGAGGGGUGAGUAACAGGGGAGUUACUCGGUGAGGUAUGGGAUGCUAAAAACGCAAACCACUGACUUGAGUAAAUAGAACUCCCACUAUGGAAGUUUAGCUCUAACAUGAACACACACGACGCCUAGCGCAUCACACAAACACAAACACAAACAAUGCGAUGAUAGCACAUAGCUAGUCCAUACACCCCGCAUCUCCUCAUAUGGAUAUAUAAUACGUAGCAUCGCUAGUACAGUCUGUCUCUGUACCCCCGCCCUCU